UUAUAACGUAGCCGUGCGGCUGGUUUGUAACCCCUAACGCGAUUGGUCUGCUCAAAUAGAAGGCUGCCUGUGAUUGGCUCCGAGUGUCCUGUUGACCGAAGGUGGACUCCCAGAGAGCAGGGAUCGCUGGAAGCAAAAAAUUCCUGCUUCAAACUGCACCAUGCGCCUCCCAUGAGUGGGUUUGGAGCAACCACCGGGAAGUUUGUACGCAAAGAUAUAUCCAAAUAAUGGAGACGCCUGGUCACUCGGGAGUUUACACGGAAUGAGCCCACUUUUGGGGUGUUUUUUCAUGAUAAUUAUUACCGCCCGAGCCUAGAGUAAUGACGCCUCCUAAACUACACAGAUGGGGUUCAGCGUGUGCAAAAUCUGACAGAAGAACCAAUGUAUUUGCACCAUACUGGAACUACCUAUUCGAUGUGGCCCAUCACAGAUAACUGGAUUUUAAGUCGAGUAAAAUAAUGGCAUCACGCUGGACGCAUUCUUAUGAGGAUGGCGACAGACAACAAGCCAGAUCUUCAUUCUGUGAGAAUGUUUACUCAACUUUUUGGAUGAAGUGGGAGGACAGGGUUGAUGGAGGUGGAGACAUACAUUAUGAGAAGACCGGCCACAGUUACAUAACGGUCAUGACCCUUGUGUUGCCACCAGACGAGACACCAUCUGCUCUUUCAUUAAAAUGAAGCUCUUUACUUUAUCUGGCAUGCAUCUUUCUGUAUCUAAUUUGCUACUUAGUAUUUACUGCAAUACUCCUGUUAAUCUUAUAUAAUAUUUGUAUUGCCUUAUAUUCAGAAGCAGUAAUAUAGCUGCCUGUUGUUAUAUCUUACAAGCUUUCUACCAAAUUAAUUUUUAAUCUAUAUUGAAUUACGGAAACAAAGCUUUGUAGCCAGUGAAGCAGUAAUUAAACCGCCUCCAGUGUAAAGGAAUGGUAUGUAAAUAAUUUGCACAAUAUGGUUUCAGCUUUAUGUUUGAGUUACAUCUCUGCUUUGUUUAUAUGAGAGCAGCACCUCUCAUGAGAAACACUGCAGUGUCGUGUAGUGCGGUGGGAGCACCACCAGUGGAGAACCUUCUUUCAGCAAUCCUUAUAUUGGGCUGACCACACAAACCAAUUCAUGUGCUAAUUUAGAUCCGGAAACCCCCCCCCCCCACAGUCUGCUCCGAAGAUUUGCUGGAAAUGGUGACUGUGAAUGUAGGUUCUACUGACUUCUGGGCUUUGAGGAGGCUGUAAGUCGUGCCUUCUCAGAUAAGAAAGGAAAAACUUGAGAACUUGAAAUAGGAUGUGUAUCAUUGCUAGAAGCAGAAUAAAGAGCAAGGACUGAGAUAAGAUACUGUUCUUACUGAAUCUUGCACAGUGGCAAAGGAUUAGUUUGAAAAGGGUUUAUCUCAGAGCAAGUAGCAAGUUUUCAAGAAUUUCAGAGGACUUUCUUGCAGUUGUUGUUUACAUUGUACUUUUCAAGCUGUUAUCAGUUCAGUGGUGCAUGGGGUUUUCAAUUGUACAACCCAGUCGAAAGCCAAACAGCGACAGCGCCACUUUCCUUGACCUCUGUUUGAUUAUGCCUCGGCCACUCCGCAAUCAUUUGAUGGUGUUGAU
ensembl:lncRNA